CCCCAUGCAGAAAAUAUCAUGAGCUUUGUCCCAAUUUCCUCAUGAGAUACGCCCCUUUCUCAUGAGGAAAUUGGGACAAUCCUCAUGAGAAUUAUGGCUCAUGAGCCGAAAUUCAUGCGUACAAGAUCAUGAGAUCCGACCUUUUCUCAUGAGCCUCGACCCUGACUUUUCUCAUGAGCCUCCUGAUCUUGCCUCAUGAAGCUCUUGAUCUUUUCUCAUGAGCCUCAUGAGAUCAUGCUCGUGAGACGACCGCUCGCUGUCCAGACAAUGUAGGUUAUUUACGCAUGCGUGCCAAGGGAAAUAGUCGGUGUGGCUGUGCAGAUGCGCGUAUGGAGUGAAUUCGUCGCUGUUUCCUCGGUAAUUUACUUUUAACAGUUCUAUUUAGUCAACAACUAUGGUGAUACUCUAGCUAGUAAAGUUUCUCUUUGAUCUAGCUAUGCUUGUGCUUGUUGCUAGACACUUUGUUUACAGCUCACCAAAGCUCGUGCGCAUGGAAGCGGAUCUCCCGGAUAGAAUAAUCGAACCAGCGCUAACACAACGGAGAAAGUAGCACGCGCGCGCGCGCGCGUUUAUGCUUUAGUUAAUUAAGGAACGUUAAUUUGCAGUGAAAGCAAACAUCAUUGAGACUGGGAGAUGUCACAUAGAGUUCCAGAUGACUUGAAGGGUCUGUUUGAUGCCAGCAUCUCUGUUGAGAUAGAUGUUCUCACAUUCACAAGAUUGGUUGUAUAGGAAAUGGUCAAUAUUCUUCAUUGAACUGGAAGGAUGAGAAGUUUGAACAUGAUCUAACAGCAUCAGUUGUUCAUCCACUAAGAAAUGUUGAUCCUUGUGCUCUUGUUGAAGCAGCUAUGCAAGACGAUGUGAUCACAAACUGGCCAAUCGAGACCUGUAGUUAGCGCAAAGGCUAGAAUAUCUUGAGCUACUUUCUGUAAAUAGAUUACUUUGCAAGUGCGCAUCAAUACUUAAUUGUGAGGGGAGACAUGUAAUUGUUGAAACUCUCAAUGAUAUCGAAGUAGAUCUGUAAUCAUAGAGACCACGCUGCAUGUGAACUUAAUUGAUACAAAUAUAACUAGAAUGGAAA